rnacentral:rRNA from 1 species
CCUACGGGAGGCAGCAGUGAGGAAUAUUGGUCAAUGGUCGGGAGACUGAACCAGCCAAGCCGCGUGAGGGAUGAAGGUACAGAGUAUCGUAAACCUCUUUUGUCAGGGAACAAAGGCGGGGACGCGUCCCCGGAUGAGUGUACCUGAAGAAACAGCAUCGGCUAACUCCGUGCAAGCAGCCGCGGUAAUACGGAGGAUGCGAGCGUUAUCCGGAUGUAUUGGGUUUAAAGGGUGGGCAGGCGGUCGUUUAAGCUAGAGGUAAAAGCCCGGGGCUCAACCCCGGCCCGCCGUUGAAACUGGCAGUCUCGAGUUGGAGAGAAGUAUGCGGAAUGCGCGGUGUAGCGGUGAAAUGCAUAGAUAUCGCGCAGAACUCCGAUUGCGAAGGCGGCAUGCCGGCUCCACACUGACGCUGAGGCACGAAAGCGUGGGUAUCGAACAGGAUUAGAUACCCCAGUAGUC